rnacentral:sRNA from 1 species
UUGUAUUGAUAUUAUUAUGCGGUAUGGGU